GAUGAAGAACGUAGCGAAAUGUGAUAAGUAGUGUGAAUUGCAGAAUUCAGUGAAUCAUCGAAUCUUUGAACGCACAUUGCGCCCGCUAGUAUUCUGGCGGGCAUGCCUGUCCGAGCGUCAUUUCAACCCUCAAGCCCCCGGGCUUGGUGUUGGGGAUCGGCGAGCCUCCGCGCCCGCCGUCCCCUAAAUCUAGUGGCGGUCUCGCUGUAGCUUCCUCUGCGUAGUAGCACACCUCGCACUGGGAAACAGCGCGGCCACGCCGUUAAACCCCCAACUUCUGAACGUUUGACCUCGGAUCAGGUAGGAAUACCCGCUGAACUUAAGCAUAUCAAUAAGCGGAGGA
rnacentral:misc_RNA from 1 species